CCUACGGGAGGCAGCAGUGGGGAAUCUUGGACAAUGGGCGCAAGCCUGAUCCAGCCAUGCCGCGUGAGUGAUGAAGGCCCUAGGGUUGUAAAACUCUUUCGUGGGGGACGAUAAUGACGGUACCCCAAGAAGAAGCUCCGGCUAACUUCGUGCCAGCAGCCGCGGUAAUACGGGGGGGGCAAGCGUUGUUCGGAAUUACUGGGCGUAAAGGGCUCGUAGGCGGCCAACUAAGUCAUACGUGAAAUCCCUCGGCUUAACCGGGGAACUGCGUCUGAUACUGGAUGGCUUGAGUUCGGGAGAGGGAUGCGGAAUUCCAGGUGUAGCGGUGAAAUGCGUAGAUAUCUGGAGGAACACCGGUGGCGAAGGCGGCAUCCUGGACCGAUACUGACGCUGAGGAGCGAAAGCCAGGGGAGCAAACGGGAUUAGAUACCCCGGUAGCCCUGGCCCUGAACGAUGAAUGCUUGGUGUGGCGGGUAUCGAUCCCUGCCGUGCCGAAGCUAACGCAUUAAGCAUUCCGCCUGGGGAGUACGGUCGCAAGGCUGAAACUCAAAUGAAUUGACGGAAU
rnacentral:rRNA from 1 species